ensembl:lncRNA
UGGUGCACUGGGUUGGAAGGCACCCAUGUCAUACUGUGGGCAGAAAGUUUGCAGUCAGCAGAGGGGGUGGGUAGGGCCAUCCAUUUGGCAUGGGGACAGGUUGGAUGAGGACCCUGUCCUGAAGUGAGGUGGGGGCAUCCCUCCAACAUGGAGCUGAGAUGGCUCUCCGGCAUGCAAUGAGGAUGUCCCUGUGGAGACGAGGGGGCAAGCUCAAUCUCUUCACCUACAGCCAGGCGUGACCACCUCAAGGCAAACAUCAGCUGCCCUCUUGCGAGGAUCCCGCUGGUGGCUUGUCCCGUCUGUCCUUGGUUGGGUGGCUCUGGCCCCCAGCAGCCUGAGAUGUCUGAGGGGCUGGACCCGCUCUGGGACUUCAGUGCCAACCAGGAGUGCCCUCCCUGUUCCCACGUGUCCCCCACACUGCCCUUCUCCCUCACCCGCUCCUCCCUGAACCAGUGAACACUCCAGGACCGCUACCCAAACUGUACUGGAAGAAGGGUUGAGGCCACCCUUUGGCGGUUAUGCCUCCCCAGUGCUCAAAGUAGCACCGCUCCCAGUGCUCCCAGUGUACUCCAUUGUCACCAGUACUCCUUAGUAACCCCCACAGUCCUCAGCGCCCCCCAGCCACCCCUCCCCAUGCUC